UGGGGAAUAUUGGACAAUGGGCGAAAGCCUGAUCCAGCCAUGCCGCGUGUGUGAAGAAGGUCUUCGGAUUGUAAAGCACUUUAAGUUGGGAGGAAGGGCAGUAAGCGAAUACCUUGCUGUUUUGACGUUACCGACAGAAUAAGCACCGGCUAACUCUGUGCCAGCAGCCGCGGUAAUACAGAGGGUGCAAGCGUUGAUCGGAAUUACUGGGCGUAAAGCGCGCGUAGGUGGUUCGUUAAGUUGAAUGUGAAAGCCACGGGCUCAACCUGGGAACUGCAUCCAAAACUGGCGAGCUAGAGUAGGGCAGAGGGUGGUGGAAUUUCCUGUGUAGCGGUGAAAUGCGUAGAUAUAGGAAGGAACACCAGUGGCGAAGGCGACCACCUGGGCUCAUACUGACACUGAGGUGCGAAAGCGUGGGGAGCAAACAGG
rnacentral:rRNA from 1 species